rnacentral:rRNA from 1 species
CCUACGGGGGGCUGCAGUAAGGAAUAUUGGUCAAUGGACGAAAGUCUGAACCAGCCAUCCCGCGUGCAGGAUGAAAGCCCUAUGGGUUGUAAACUGCUUUUAGCAGAGAAGAAAAGCUUUCAUUAAUGAGAGUCUGACGGUAUCUGCAGAAUAAGCACCGGCUAACUCCGUGCCAGCAGCCGCGGUAAUACGGAGGGUGCGGUAGUUAUCCGGAAUUACUGGGGUUAAGGCGGAGGUAGACGGAGUAUUUGAAAUCUUGUCGCUUAACGAGAAAAUUGCCAAUGAUACUGGGACUCUUGAAUUGGGUUGAGGUUAGCGGAAUGUGACAUGUAGCGGUGAAAUGCAUAGAUAUGUCAUGGAACACCAAUUGCGAAGGCAGCUAACUGGGCCUUGAUUGACGCUGAGGCACGAAAGCGUGGGUAGCGAACAGGAUUAGAUACCCUAGUAGUC